rnacentral:rRNA from 1 species
GAUGAACGCUGGCGGCGUGCUUAACACAUGCAAGUCGAACGAAGCACUUAAGAUUGAUUCUUCGGAUGACGUCUUUUGUGACUUAGUGGCGGACGGGUGAGUAACGCGUGGGUAACCUGCCUCACACAGGGGGAUAACAGUUAGAAAUGACUGCUAAUACCGCAUAACCCGAUAGGAUCGCAUGAUCCAGACGGAAAAGAUUUAUCGGUGUGAGAUGGACCCGCGUCUGAUUAGCUAGUUGGUGAGGUAACGGCCCACCAAGGCGACGAUCAGUAGCCGGCCUGAGAGGGUGAACGGCCACAUUGGGACUGAGACACGGCCCAAACUCCUACGGGAGGCAGCAGUGGGGAAUAUUGCACAAUGGGGGAAACCCUGAUGCAGCGACGCCGCGUGAGUGAAGAAGUAUUUCGGUAUGUAAAGCUCUAUCAGCAGGGAAGAAAAUGACGGUACCUGACUAAGAAGCCCCGGCUAACUAUGUG